UACAUGAAGCUGGAAUUGCUAGUAAUCACAGGUCAGCAUACUGUGGUGAAUACGUUCCCGGGCCUUGUACACACCGCCCGUCACACCAUGAGAGUUGAGAAUACCCGAAGCCCAUGUCAAAGUGGUCGAAGGUAGGCUUGAUGAUUGGGGUGAAGUCGUAACAAGGUAAC
rnacentral:rRNA from 1 species